UAUUGAAACAAGUAUGCAUAAAAAUUUUAAAAAUUCAGAUUAAAUCUAAUUUAAUCUAAGCAUGCAUAAGAUCAAAUCUUAAACCAUAAACAAGAUCUACAUAAGUGAGAUAGGAUUCAGAUAUAGAAAUCAAAUAAAGAAAAAUAAAUGAGAAGAUCUAAUCUGUCUCUAAGAACUAAAUCCAAACGAUAAUCACAAAGGACAGAUACCCAUGGCCAC
rnacentral:lncRNA from 1 species